rnacentral:pre_miRNA from 1 species
AGUUGUACCAGAUGCUCGAUUUUCUAGAUUCUGUGAAACGUUGCGUCUUGUACAAUUGU